CUAUCCUAUCACGAAAACCCACUGUUUAUUUCGUUCUCGACCUAUUAAUUCACCAGAUAAAAAAAACCCAAGUGAUACGACUCCCUGACCUUCAACAGCACUCAAGCAUCACAUUGUCUCGUGUGAAAGCCUGAAAACAAGUGAGAGUUUUUAGCAACACAAGAAGUCUACCUGUAACAGGUUUGACCAUGAAGUGCCACCUGGCCCUCUUGCUUCUUGUGGGCUUCCUGGCACCCUCUGCCCGGGCCACUUUCAUGACCCAAGAGAACACCUUUGAAUUAAUGCUCCCGGUUGCACGUGGUUCCCAAGGGGAAGUCCAAGGGGGCUAAAGCUAGGCUUAGGAAGUUGAAGAUCAGGAUAUAUGCUGC